GACGAGGGGUCCUAGCGUUGUUCGGAAUCACUGGGCGUAAAGCGUUUGUAGGCGGCCCUGUAAGUCGGGUGUGAAAUCCCCGGGCUCAACCUGGGAACUGCGCUUGUGACUACAAGACUAGAGUACGGCAGAGGGGGGUAGAAUUCCACGUGUAGCAGUGAAAUGCGUAGAGAUGUGGAGGAAUACCGAUGGCGAAGGCAGCCCCCUGGGCCAGUACUGACGCUCAUGCACGAAAGCGUGGGGAGCAAACAGG
rnacentral:rRNA from 1 species